rnacentral:rRNA from 1 species
UACGUGGGGCGCAAGCGUUGUCCGGAAUUAUUGGGCGUAAAGGGCGCGUAGGCGGUUCGUUAAGUUGCUGGUGAAAUCCCGGGGCUCAACUCCGGGGCUGCCAGUAAGACUGGCGGGCUAGAGCACGGUAGAGGCAGAUGGAAUUCCCGGUGUAGCGGUGGAAUGCGUAGAUAUCGGGAAGAAUACCGGUGGCGAAGGCGUUCUGCUGGGCCGUUGCUGACGCUGAGGCGCGACAGCGUGGGGAGCAAACAGG